GACGAACGCUGGCGGCGUGCUUAACACAUGCAAGUCGAACGGAAAGGCGCUGCUUUUGCGGGGUUCUCGAGUGGCGAACGGGUGAGUAACACGUGAGUAACCUGCCCUUGACUUUGGGAUAACAUCAGGAAACUGGGGCUAAUACCGGAUAGGAGCUCCUGCUGCAUGGUGGGGGAUGGAAAGAUUCGGCGGUGGGGGAUGGACUGGAGGGUUAUCAGCUUGUUGGGGAGGUAGGGGCGUACCAAGUCUUCGACGGGUAGCCCGCCUGGGAGGGUGACCGGCGUCAUGGGGACUGAGGUAGGGCCCAGUAUCCUACCGUCCGCAGUAGGGGGAAAUCUUGCACAAUGGGCGGACGCCAGAUACAGCAGUCUCGCGUGCGGGAUGACGGCUUUCGGGUUGUAAACAGCUUUCGCCUGUGACGAAGCGUGAGUGACGGUAAUGGGUAAAGAAGCACCGGCUAACUACGUG
rnacentral:rRNA from 1 species